AAUCCAUGUUGUGGACACUUCCUGAGUAUUCCCUUGAACCUUUCCCAUGCUUCAUAAAGUGACUCAUUAUCCUUCUGAGAAAACCAUGAGAUAUCGGCUUUAAGUUU